rnacentral:rRNA from 1 species
ACUUUGAUUCUGGCUCGGGACGAACGCUGGCGGCGCGCCUAACACAUGCAAGUCGAGCGGGAAGCUUUUUAAGGAUUCUUCGGAUGAAUUAAAAAGUGGAGAGCGGCGGACGGGUGAGUAACGCGUGAGAAACCUGCCCUAUACAGGGGGAUAGCCAUUGGAAACGAUGAUUAAUACCCCAUAUGACCACAGUAUCGCAUGAUACAGCGGUGAAAACUCCGGUGGUAUAGGAUGGUCUCGCGUCUGAUUAGCUAGUUGGUGGGGUAACGGCCUACCAAGGCGACGAUCAGUAGCCGGCCUGAGAGGGUGACCGGCCACACUGGAACUGAGACGCGGUCCAGACUCCUACGGGAGGCAGCAGUGGGGAAUAUUGCACAAUGGGCGAAAGCCUGAUGCAGCGACGCCGCGUGAACGAUGAAGGCUUUCGAGUCGUAAAGUUCUGUUCUUGGGGAAGAUAACGACGGUACCCAAGGAGAAAGCACCGGCUAAAUACGUGCCAGCAGCCGCGGUA